GUGGUACUUGUGGUGACCAGCAGUAGCAGGUGAAUAUACCAAUUAAAUAAUGAAGUUUUCUUUAAUUUCAACAUUUUUGACGGCCGCUUACUUCUUCACAAGAUUAAACGGUAAGAUAUUUAGUCUAUGCGUCUUUGAUAAAUGCUUGGGUGUUGUCUAAUGGGAAAUGUCUUGAAAGUACAGUAUAUGAGAAUUAUCACUGUGGUUCUUUACAUAGACUUUGUUGUAGGAUUAGGCAGUUCUAAGUCUUUUUGGUGCAAGUGGUUAAUAGAUGUGCCUUACCUUUCACAGCUUAGGGCCCAGCUUCCUUUCAAAGCUUUGGGCCCUGAAAUUGCGUUGCCAAAAUCUGGUCUGCCACCUUAAUGUUGGUGCGCAGAAAAUGUCUACCUCAAUAAGCUCUCUUAGAAGGAAACCACAGAUGAUAACGGCGGGUCAUCGGAAGGUUACGUGGUUCAAUUCCCGUUAGGGCUUCAAUUUCCGUUAGGGCUCAGAAUAUAGGCUUGAUGUACAGGCUUGCCAUUUCAUAAAUUUAUUUUAUUCUCAUUUUCAAGUUACAGGUGUCAAGUCUACGGUAAGUCAGGAAUAGGCCUAAUAUUUUCAAGGAUUGAAUAAAUACAUGAUAUAUAAUUUUAAAAAUUACGUUCUUUCUUUAUAGGCCUACAUCUAAUUGCAAAUCAUAAUCACUAUAGUUAUAUCAUCAUUAUUAAUUUACUAAGUAGGUUUACCAACUAAGUAACAGUUUAUGCGAGAACUAUAAAGAAAACGUUUAAUUUAAUAUACAGCUGGGAUGGGCUGGAAUAUAUAGUCAUUCAGCAUCACAUCUCUUAUAUUAAUUUUUACCAGGCUCUCAUUUCCGUUUCCAUUCAACUGCGUUUUACUGACUUCACAAACAAGAAUGUGAUACCAGCAGUGAACGUUACUGCCGCGAAUGGAACCACAGCCUUCCAGUUCCUCCAACAGGCAGCUCAACAAAAUCCAUGUUAUCUUUCUCAAUAUAAAACAUAUCCAAAUCUUGGUCAUUACAUCACAACCAUAUGCUGUGUAGAAGAAAACACGACAUCUAACUUCUACUGGUUCGUCUACAUUAAUAACGCACUCUCGCCAGUUGGAGUGGAUGGUCUGAUACCAAACAAUGGAGAUAUCCUUAGGUUCGAGUACCGGUUUAUAAACUCUACUGAUUGCAACCAUACAGAAACCUCUGCGGCUAAAAGUCUUAAAGUAGGUACGUAAAUCAAAUAUCGGUACAAAAAUUUGGAAGGCGACGAUUUUAAAGUACGUUUAUCGUAUGACAAUGGCGUGAUUUUACCUCAUAAAUACCAUGCAUAUUAUGCGAGGAAUUAAAAACUUGAUCACGCUAUGGUACCUGGAUUUGCUUUGUGAGUGAUUGUGCGUAGUUAAAUUACCCUUUAAAUCAAAUAGAUUGCAAUAAAUGUAUUGGUGGUUUGCAAUCAAUCCAUGUAGAUUUAUAUAUAAGCGUGAAAAGCCGCUGCAAUUUCUGCACUAAAACCACUACUAUUCUGUUUUGUGAAAGUCAAUGUCACUAGUCAAUGUGUCGACACUCCAGUCUGGCGUAUAAUACUAUAAUUAAUGCUUUCUACUGCACAGGGUGGGGUGCACAGGCGCUACUGGAGCCUAUAAUAUAUUUUCUAUAUCUUGAUCGCGAUAAACAAUUUGAUUGGUUAUUAACUAUUUCUCAUCGAGAAAAGACAAGACAAUGUCCUUGUGCAAUGGGAUAUACUUAAGUUUAAAUCUGUGUGCCCGUCUUUGUUUUAUCAAACAUUAAAUUUUCUACCAUUGACGUUAUCCCUACUUCAUUUCAAUAUUAGAAAAUAGCGUUCUGCAUGCAUUCUGCAAAUUACCCCGACGAAUUAGAAUCAACAACACACUCCUAAGACAUUGCCCAUUAGGAAUUAGUAGCAGUUGAAGUGUAAAAACAAUUAUUUUCCUUAAAGUAUUAUUUUAUUUUUUCACACUCGUCAUUUUACCCUCAACACUCGACCAAUAGAUAAACUCCCGACAUUACCCCCGAGCCGACUGCGCGAAGCGUCGUGCGAGGCAACUAAUUCCCCCCGCCUAGUUACACCCGGGGAAACGAAAGCAUUAGCUAAGUCUAUUAUCCCAUACCUGUGUUAAAAGCGGCUUUCUGAUUGGUUUAGAGCAGGUGAGCUUGUCGUCGAGCUCACCUGCUUUUGCCGAACUCACCCGCUUUUCGCCCGAACUCACCCGCUAAACUGCUUACGUUGCAAUAACAAUAACAAAUAUGGCGGACAAAAUUUAGCCGAUAAACCUAAACUUUAAAGAACUUUUUUCGGUGACUAACAUACUGAAGAAAAACCAAAGAAAAAAUGCAGUAAAGAUAAUGUAGAUGUAAAUAAAGAAGUAUUUUCUUGCCCAGUGAUUUUUUUGGCCGGGAAAAUGUUCACAAAACAUCGACGAAAGUGACAAAUAUAUCGCGAAGAGCUACAAAUGUGUGUAUGGCUCGGUGUAUGGGAUAAAAACCAAACGUACUUGCAGGUUCGGUGAGUCCGGGAUUGGACGCACCUCGGGUGGCUGGAAGAUUCCCGAACUCACCUCGCUUCGCUCGGUAAGUUCGGGAAACUUCCAGCCACCCUCGGUGCGUCCAAUCCCGGACUCACCUCCCUGCAAGUACGUUUGUUGUAAAGUUCAUCAAUUAUCGCGGGCGUGGGUGACCAACGAUGGGUGGUCAUCCUCACUGAUCUAAAAGAUAUGGCGGACUGUGAUGAAUAGCGGACACUGAUUGGUCCAAUUUAAAGUUUGCAUUAUAACGACUGCAUGACAACAGCGAAAUAGCAAACAUUUCUUGAUUUGAUCAUCGAUGAUUGAUCAAUUUCUUGCAAAUAUAUUUCAUUUUUGCUCGCAUUUUUGCAAGAUUUUGUAAAUUUCAACAGCUCUCUCAGAAAGAAACUGCGACAGAAUCGGCUAAAAGAAGGGAGCCGACGUUAACGAAGGUAAGUUUGUUUUAAAUAUUGAUUUUAUAAUGGUUUAAAACCCGACGGCCUUUGCGUAUAUGAAACAACUAAACAAGACAGCAUAUAAUUUUAGUGUAUCUUUAAUAUUGAUUCCCUUUUUUAUGAUAUUGAAUUUUUUAAAUAAAAAAGAAAGCAAAGUCAUUUGCAAGCGAGAAUUCGAAAUAAUUUUAUUGCAAACUCAAAGUCUAUCGAGUAUCGAUAAGCCCUUUUUCUAGGCAGCUUAAGGACCUUAAGUUUACAAAGAACACUAGUGACUUUAAAACGUGACUAGUGACUUGUGGUUGAAUUUUACCUUAAAGUGCCUAUAUCACUUGUGGGAUAUUUACGGAUUUGGAAAGAGCACAAAAAGUUAGUUUGGAAGUUCUUCAACCUUUUUUGAUUUGGUUCAGUAUUUUCCGAGAUAUUGACCCUCAAACAUGACAAUUUAAAAAAAAACCCGUCGUGCUUGGGAGCCUGGGACUCAGGAACGCAAGCGUAAACAAACACUAUAGAAUUGUAUUAUAUUUUGACGCUGUAACUUACUAAAGUGAGAAUUUUUGCAAGAAAGGUCGGUUUAUUAAGCUCAAAGUCGUUCUCUGGUACUGAAAAAAGUUCCUACGAUUGCGCUGAAUAUAAAAUUGAAGGUGAAACGUACAAAACCACUUCAAAAUCAAAUUUGAAAGUGCUCCUUCGUAGAUGGCAUCUAGCUUCGUCGAGCAUGAAAAUAUUGGCAUUUAAAGCUACACUGACGAAAUAUGGGCCAAAGAAUACGUUUGAAAGUUGGAAGAAUAUAACAAGGAAAUAAGGAAAUUCAUUUUCACAUGAAACGGACCUUACAUGUACAGUAUAUCGUGAUAGUUCUUCGUAUUAAAGUGAAUAAUAUAUUUUCUAUAUGUAAAUGUUUUGCCAUUUUCUAUAUGUAAAUGUAUUUGCCAUUUGCAGUUUAAUACCAUAUUUUGGGUUGUCUUUGAGUAAUUAUGUUUUGCAGCUUGAAUUAUUGGGAUAUAAAAAUUAACUAAAGGAGGAGCUUUUUCGAUUCUAUUUUGUACUGUUGAAAAUCACAAUACAUUUCAUGAUUCAAUGAUUGUAUUAGCUUUAUUGCUGCAUUAGACCAAUACUUGGCUUGAAUUUAUGGCUUUGCUGUUAUUAAAUGGUAAAGCUCCCAACAUUCCAACCCUUGCCAAACAACCUGAACUUGUGAGGGUUGGAGCCAUGAUGACAUCUGCAAGGAUCCAGGCCAGUUUAUGUGUGCCUGAUUUGCAGGGCUGACCCUGUUUGAAAGGUCUUGUACAGAUGAAAAUUAUUGAGUGGAAAUUUAUAGACAUUUAUUAAAUAUCCUUCUAUACAAGACUCUUCAACUAUUAUUGAAUUGAGUGAGAAGCCAGGUUCCCGGGAGCACAACCUGGAGACAAAAAUUUCCUUUAUUAGUGAAAAAUGUCCUUUGUGCUAAAUCUGCAUGUGCAUAAACAUAUAGUGUUCCAGCUGACCAUGGUUUUAAAUUCAAGGAAUAAUGUCUGUCAACCAUAUGUUGCUGCACCCAUAGUGGGACAUGGGCCGGUUUCCUUCAAAUGUUACAGUCGAUUUCACGAAACUUUGACCACAAAUGUUCCGAACUUCGUUGCGAAGUUCGCAAGUUCGUUGCGAAGUACGGAAGCUCAUAUUGGAAUUCACAAGCCAAUUUGUAAACAAAGUCCCUGAUUGGUCCGUGAAGUAGAAGAAGCCAAUCAAAUGCGUAGUUUACGAACAGGUUUGUGAAUUCAUUAUGAACUUUUGAACUUCGCAACAAUCUUGAGAACUUCGCAACGAAGUUCGGAAAAUUUGUGGUCAAAGUUUCGUGAAAUCGACUGUAAUCAAUAGCAAAUCUUCAUUCGAACAAAUUUCCUGCAGCUGUUUAACAUUUACUGCACAUGAGCAGUGCUCACAUAUUUUUUCCACCCCUGUAUAUAUUGGUUACAGCAAGCGCUGCACCGGAGUUGCAGGGCAGAUUGGAUUUCUGCCAGGGAUCAGCAGUUGCAUUUCGAUUUUUCACAACUUUUCCUGGUUAGGUAUAAUAAAUGCAUAUAAACUUCUACUCGAUAUACAAGACCCUUCAACUAUUAUUCAAUUCUGUAUAACCUGUCUUCCUAAGCUGUUCUUGUAGAUCAAGUUUUUAAAUAAACAUUUUCCUGUACACAGUAGCAUGAAUUCAGUUUUUUUUUCAUGACUUUGACUCCUUUGUCUGUUGAUUUAAAAAAAAAAAAAUAAACUAAGAUAAUAUUUGUGCACUAUGUGUGCUGUAACUUUAUUAAAUGCAAGUUAAUGACAAAAAAAUCAAGCAUGCAUUAAUUAAAGUUGGACUAUUAAUGCCAAAUAGAAUUUUUGGUUUGUGUGAUAUUUGGGUCAAAAUUCUAAUAAGAAAUGUAAUGUAUCUUUAUAGUAAAAAUUCACCUAAUGAUAUCAUAUCUGGAAACUUUGACAGUGAAAAGGUCGAUGAAGAAGGGAUUUUUUAUUAUAGAGAUAACAUUUCUUCGAACGAAUGACAUAUAUUGCACAUACCAAAAAUCAUAUUUGUGGUUAGUUGUGUUUUAAAAUUAUAUUUCUUAUUUAUCAUUUUCCAAAUAUUCAUAUCUUUGAAGUCAUCAUCUUUCCCAUUAAAAACUGUAGAUAGUUUGUUAAACAGAACACAAUGGUAUUAUUUCAUCUUUUUUACAACCAUGAGCUAAUCUGGUGAAUCACAUGUAUGCCACUGAUAUAAAGACCUAAAAGUAGAGAUAUAAUUAUACCUUAGACUUUAAUAAUGUAUUCUUUAAUCUUUAAUCAAGUAAAGAUGAGGCAAACCAGUGAUCUGUUAUACAGCUUAUUCAAGAGUCAAGACACAGUAAUCUGUGCAGCUCAAUAAAAUUAUGUCAGUUUAGCAUUUGCCUAUAGUUUGUUUACGAUACGGGCUAACUUUAAAAGAAGCCGGGCUAAUUUCAAUAGACGCUGGUCUAAUUUCAAUAGACGCCGGGCUAAUUUCAAUGGAAGCCGGGCUAAUUUCAAUGGAAGCCAGGCUAAUUUCAAUAGAAACUUCAAGAGAGCAUGAUGUAAUUUUUCAAGUUAAACGAUUGCAAUUUUUACUUGAAGUAUAUCUAUAACAACCUCUAAAGCACGAAUUAUACAGCGUUUGAAAUAAGUGUGCAAAGUUUUGUAAGUUCAAGCCCAACUAUUGCUUAUCUUUUUGCUUGCCUUUUAAUAAAAUUAUGUCAGUUUAGCAUUUGCCUAUACUUUUUUACGAAACGGACUAACUUUAAAAGAAGCCGGGCUAAUUUCAAUAGACGCCGGGCUAAUUUCAAUGGAAGCCGGGCUAAUUUCAAUAAAGGACGGGCUAAUUUCAAUGGAAGCCGGGCUAAUUUCAAUAGAAUCUUCAGGAGACCAUGAUGUAUAUUUGGAAGUUAAAUGAUAUAUUGCAAUUUUUACUUGAAGUAUCUAAUAACCUUUAAAGCACGAAUUACAGCACAAAUUACAGCGUUUGUAAUAAUUUUAUUAAAAGGCAAUAAGCAAUAUAAGCAAUAGUUGGGCUUGAACUUACAAAAUCUUACACACUUAUUUCAAACGUUCUAUAAUUCGUGCUUUAGAGGUUAUUAGAUAUAUUUCAAGUAAAAAUUGCAAUCGUUAAUCUUGAAAAAAUUCAUUAUGCUCUCUUGAAGAUUCUAUUGAAAUUAGCCCGGCUUCCAUUGAAAUUAGCCCGUCCUCUAUUGAAAUUAGCUCGCCUUCCAUUGAAAUUGGCCCGGCGUCUAUUGAAAUUAGCCCGGCUUCUUUUAAAGUUAGCCCGUUUCGUAAAAAAGUAUAGGCAAAUGAUAAACUGACAUAAUUUUAUUAAAAGGCAAGCAAAAAGACAAGCAAUAGUUGGGCUUGAACUUACAAAACCUUGCACACUUAUUUCAAACGCUGUAAUUCGUCGCCUUAGACGUUAUAUUAGAUACUUCAUGUAAAAAUUGCAAUCGUUUAACUUGAAAAAUUGCAUUAUGCUCUCUUGAAGAAAUCCUAUUGAAAUUAGCCCGGCUUCCAUUGAAAUUAGCCCGUCCUCUAUUGAAAUUAGCCCGGCUUCCAUUGAAAUUAGCCCGGCGUCUAUUGAAAUUAGCCCGGCUUCUUUUAAAGUUAGGUCGUUUCGUAAAAAAGUCAUAAUUUUAUUAAAAGACAAGCAAAAAUAUAAGCAAUAGUUGGGCUUGAACUUACAAAACCUUGCACACUUAUUACAAAACCUGUAAUUCGACGUCUUAGAGGUUAUUAGAUAUACUUCAAGUAAAAAUUGCAAUCGUUCGACUUCAAAAGAUACAUCAUGCUCUCCUGAAGUUUCAAUUCUAUUGAAAUUAGCCCGUCUUCAAUUGAAAUUAGCCCGUCCUCUAUUGAAAUUAGCCCGUCCUCUAUUGAAAUUAGCCCGGCUUCUAUUGAAAUUAGCCCGGCGUCUAUUGAAAUUAGCCCGGCUUCUUUUAAAGCUAUCCCGUUUCGUAAAAAAAGUUUGGCAAAUGCUUAACUUACAUAAUUUUAUUAAAAGGCAAGCAAAAAGGUAAGCAAUAUAGUUGGGCUUGAACUUACAGAACCUGGCAAACGCUGUAAUUCGUGCUUUAGAGGUUAUUGGAUAUAAUUCUUGUAAAAAAUGCAGUCGUUUAACUUGAAAUAUUAAUACCGCAUGAUUAAUCUAUUGAAAUUAGUCCGGCCUCUUUUAAAGUUAGUCCGUCGCGUAAAUAAGUAAGGCAAAUGCUAAACUAAAGUAAUUUUAAUGGUAUCCUUCUUUGCGAACCAGAGCAGGAAAGCGACUGCAGCUAUGUCGUUUAUAGCUAUACGCGAACAAAUAAUAUUCUACUUUGGUUAUUAUUAUUACAUGUUUUUCACAGCUUUGUUCUUAUGCUGGCUAUGUUUUUUCCUUGGAAGCUGGCUACAACCAGUAGCCUCAGGUCCCAAAGAUUGUAGCUUUCCAAGCUUCUUCUCAGUAUUCUUGCCGUACCUAACAAUGCUGUUUUUGUAGAAGUUCUAUUCUUAUAUGUAUUCCCAAUUUCUCAAUCCACUUAUCCAGUUUAUUACUAACUGCUCCUAAGGCACCUACUACUAUUGGAAUGACUUCUACUUUUUUCAUUGCCCAUAUUUUCCAAAUUUCCCUUUUCAACUCCUCAUACUUUUUUACCUUCUCUGUUUCUUUUAUACCAAUUCUACAGUCCCCUGGAACUGCGAUGUCUAUGAUCUUGCAUUCCUUUUCCUUCUUUAAAACCACUACAAUAUCAGGUCUUCGACAUUCAAUCACAUGAUCGCACUGUAUGUUAAAAUCCCAGAGAAUCUUUACAUUAUCUGAUUCAAUUACUCAAUUUGGUUGGUGUUUAUACCAUUUUUCAGCUUUCUCUAGUUGGUACAAACCACAUAGCUUCCAGUGUACAAUGCGAGCCACAUUGUCAUGUCUUCGUUUGUAUUCUUUUUGUGCUAGCUUUUUGCAUUCACUUAUCAAGUGUGUUAUAUGCUCUCCCUUUUCCCCCACAAAGUCUACAGAGUGGAGAUUCGACAGUUCUAUCUAUGUGAAACUUUACAUAAUUUGUCCUUAGAGCUUGUUCUUGUGCAGCACAAAGAAGUUCUUCAGUCUCAGGUUUCAAGUCUCCUUUCUUCAGCCACCACCAUGUCUUCUCCCUAUCCACUUCUUUACCUAAAUCUCUGUUAUAUUGUCCAUACAUUUUCUUGUCAAUCCAAGCUUUCUCUAGCUCCUCUACUGCUUUCUUCUUAAAAUUUUCUUUUGUUUCGCAUCUUUCCGUUUCAAUCACACCUGUCUUUGCAACUUGUUGUAAAAGUGGUUCCACACUGUUCUUUACAUACCAUCCCAAACUGUUCUCCUCUGUACGAAUGCAUCCUUCAUAACUGAUCAAACCUCUUCCGCCCUUUUCUCUCGGUAAAUAUAAUCGAUGAAUGUCGCUUCUUGGAUGAAGAGCACCAUACAGUGUCAUCAGUUUACGUGUUUUGUGAUCCAUUGCAGCAAUUUCAUCUUUUGUCCAUUUCAAAACAGCAGCUCCAUACCUCAGUAGCGCAACAGCCCAAGUAUUCAUCGCCAUGAUUUUGUUUCUGCCAUUCAGUUUUGAUUUCAGCACCAGUCUUAAUCUCCUCCCGUAUUCCUUUACAAACUUUCUCUUCAUUUCACCCUCCAUAAUUUUAUCUAAUUCCAGUAUACCAAGACAUUUAUAUCCAUCUUCUUCUACGGACUUUAUUGUUUCCUCAUCAAGUAGCUGUAUUCCAUUACAUUCCACAAUCUUUCCUCUUUUCAUUACAAGCAUUCCACAUUUCUUUAUCCCAAAUUCCAUUCCAAUGUCUUUGCUAACAAUAUGGAUAGUUUUCACCAGUGAGUCUAUUUGCUCCUUGUUCUUUCCAAACAACUUCAGAUCAUCCAUGAAUAGAUGGUUGAUUUUGAGUUCUUUUUCCGCGAAAUUCAUACCCUACCUUUUCCUUUCUCAGUAUCAAGCUUAAUGGUAUCAUGCACAUCACAAAUAUCAAUGGAGAUAAACUAUCUCCUUGAAAAAUACCUCGUCUUAAAUUCACAUUUCCAAGACUUUCUCCCGAAGAUGUUAACUCCGUUUUCCAGUUCUCCAUACUACUUUCCACAAACGUUCUCACAUUUGCUGCGAUUUUGAACAUACUCAUACAUUCCACUAUCCAAGAAUGAGGUACCAUAUCAUAUGCCUUGCGAUAGUCUAUCCAGAUUGGCCGAGCUCAUAGCAGCGAAGAAAGGCGAAGACUACUCUACGACCAUGUCUGGAUACGAGCCAAGGUCUCCUUUGCCAUCUUGCGGUCAGCUCUACUUUGUCUCAGAGGGACUAGAGCACCCAGGAGGAUAACAACGAACGUUCAAGAAACGGACUUCGAAGUAGACAAUUCUCGUGCCAAAAUUUAGGCUUANNNNNNNNNNNNNNNNNNNNACUAUAACAUACUACAACAAUUUAGAUUUUAUAAAUUAUUAUUAUUAUUAUUAUUGUCAUUAUUAUUAUUAUUAUCUUAGUUUUAUACCUGUAAUAUAAUUUUAUCAAUAAUUAAUAGUUCAAGUAAUCAAUAAAAUCAGUAUUAUAUUAUUCUUAUUCUUCUUUUUCUUCUUCUUAUUAUUAUUAUUAAUAUUAUUAUUAUUAUAUUUCUGGCUAAACAUUUUUAGCAUUUCGAAAGUUUCCGAUGUUUAGCAGGGAAUUUGAUUGGUCGGGCAAAAUGCAAAAGGCGGGCAAAUUUCAUUCUGCCCCCUAAAUUUUCCGCUCCUGUACGCCGAUGACUGGCCUUAUCAUUCAAGUCUUGUUCAACAAUCCCCCCCUGUUACAUCAUACUCUUGUGACGAAUAGUAAACCUUUAAAUUGAAAGUGGCAUCUUAACAUUCACCUUAUCGUCUGCUGUGGAUGCGGACGUCGAUGCGAACGCAAGAUUUAAAUUGUUUCGAUUUAAAUUAAUUUAAAGCAAAAAAAUCGGCCAUAUUCAAACAUCAUGGCAACCCCAUAGCAAUGGCACUGACGUCAAUUUUGGUAAAAGUUUUAUACUCUUCAGGCAGUAUUUUCUAUAUUUCAGAUACUCAGUUGCUUUCAACAAGUAACAAUUAAAAAUCCGUCUUAACUUUAAAUUUAUGCGUCGCCAAACAUUCUAGACCAAUCAUCCCGAACAAUAAUUAAAUGAUAUAUUAUAAAUGUGAUUGUAUCUCAUUUGUGUCGGUUUUCUUUGAUCGUCCGAGGUUUAUAACUAGCGAAUAUACCUUGAAUAAAUAAUUACAUCAAACUUUUCGACAAAACGCGAGAAUUUUUCAUAAAAUUUUUUUGAAAAUGACAAAAUAUGUUAGAAAACCUCCACAAAUGAGAUAUAAGUUAGUUAUAAACCUCGAAAGUCGGUUUAUAACUGAUAUAUUGCCCGCGGACGCUGCGCGUCCUCGGGGGCAAUAUAUCAGUUAUAAACCUCCUUCUCGGUUUCUAACUCUUACAUAGUCAUUGUAAUAUAAAUCAACCUAUAUCAGCUAAACAAGCGCAUUUCACUUGUUUUGUCAGACAAGGAAACGUUUCAAGAAACUGCUCCUACAAACAAAAUGCAGUAAGGCACAAUAAUUUCAAUCACAAACUAGACCACAUGAAGAAAAAUUACAAGUGCUUUCGGAUAAAAUGAAGGAAGAGAUGAAAAUAAAACGCCCAUCUGCUGGGCUAAACAAAAUAAAUGUAUUUCUAGUGAUUAAACUAAACAGAAAAUUUCUCAUGGAGGACGUUAAUGGAAGGACCAGAGCUAUGAAAACAACUUCAGAUGGCAACAUCAAAAAGAUCCAAUUAAUCCAAAAUUGCGCAGCCCGAUUAAUUACAGGGGUGCCUAAGUAUGAUCAUAUAUCACCGACAUUAAACGCGUUAGGAUGGUUGUCAAUCAAAGAACAUCUAUUUUACAGAGAUGCGUUAUUAACAUUUAAAUGCAUGAAUGACAAAGCUCCACAGUAUUUAUGCGAUAAUUUUGAACAACGAAACAGAAUUCAUAACCGAGAUACUAGAAGAAAUGGAGACCUGGAUAUUCCAAAAUAUAGGACAUCGAUCGGGCAAAGAUCGUUCAAAUACCGAGGGACUAAGAUAUGGAAUGGUCUAGAUACAGAGCUGAAAUCAAUUAGUGAUUUGAACAAUUUUAAGACGAAACUUAAGACAAUUCUUAUUGAGAAGCGAUGUCCUUCUUUUUAACUUUUUUUUAACUCAUAAACCAUAAUAUAUAGUAUAAUUUUAGUUCGCGUAAUAACUCAGUUGAUAAGAUUGUUGUAAAUAUAUAUAGUCGAUAACUCAUAAUUUCUUCUAAAAUCCAUGUAAAUUGUCAUUGAAAAGCCCACUUUAAGGAAUGUCAAUUAAUAAAUUCAAAUUCAAACAACAAAACUCGUCAUAUAUCACAGAAUACAUUAAUAAUUUAAAGACUUGCGGGAAUUUUAAACGUUGUGUCAAGCCGUCAUAUGUAGUUUUUAUAACACAAAUGAUUAAAAUUGUUUUGCCCUGGUAAACCGUGUUAACAACUAUUAAGGGGAAAGGGUAUUUUCGUGAAUCGCGAUUAGCAAUUAUUCGUUCUUCGUGAUUAGUGAUUUGAAGAAAUACCAUUCCGUGAAUUGUGAUUAAUAUGCGUGCCGUGAAUCGUGAAGAGCUAAAAGGGCUAGCUAGGGUCUAGAAUUUACCAAUAUUUUACCCUAACUUGUGAAUGUUUACGUUUAAAAGUCGGCACAAAUUUAAUAUUAAGCUAUAAAAAUGAAUAAAUUUGCUUCCCGCGGUUGUCUUUUUUGAGGUUUCUUCGUUUCAUCGUAAACGUCAUUGUCGUAUACAGGGUAUAUCAAAAAAAGCGCAAUCCUCGACUGAAAUGUAAAUUGCUAAACAAAUAAUAGAUGAAAACGUUAAAGUUUACAUUCAUUUUAAAGCGUAGCCACUCAGCUUUCUAACAGUGGGUUGUUUCUUAAAUUUGACUCAUUGGUUCGCGGGUAAUAAUACUUUACGUUAUUGCGAUUGGGGAUUAAAAAAAUUGAGAUGGAAUAACAAAUCGUUCUCAUGAAAAUAACUGAUUUUUUCAUUAAAACAAAAAAAUGUUGCAUUUUAUUAAAUGGAUUGUAACAAUAAGUAUAAUUACGGCUUUUCUUCCACUAUUUUAACUCAGUUUGAAACUUCAAAUGCGAUAUAAUUUUGGCUUGGACCAUCUAAGCUGACUGACAUCAACUUGCUAUAAUUUCUGUUUACAUUACAUCGCAAUUCGAUGACACUCUGGCUCAGACACCAGAAUGUUUUGACGAUUUUUAGCAUUCGUUUAGGAUUUUCAAACAACCUGGUCUCUUUUAAAAUACUUUUAAUUUGUUCUUACGUGGUUUUCCAGAUGUAGUGACGACAACAUUAAAGUUUAAAGAAGAAAAUUCUAACAUUUAAACCGACUAAACAAUAACAUAGUAAACUUGCAUAAUUAAACAGCAACUAAAAAUGAUAGGUUUUACUAAAUCUUUUCUUGUUCAAUUAUUACAAGCAUUGGAGACAAGGAUAAUAGUUUGUUUGAAAGAGAAAAGAACAGGCUUUGAAGUAAGCCUAAAAGAGUUUAACUAGAAAUAGUAUUUCGAAAGUUAUUAAGCACAAAAGAUGAAUUGCGUUUAUUUUGAUACACCCUGUAUACCUUCGUACCUCUUCGUAGACUUCGUGAACCAUCGUAAGACGCUUGUAAUGUUUCGUAAUGCCUCGCAAUGAUUUCCAUAAUCAUUUAAAAGCUCUAAUGUUAAAGUCAGUAAAAUAUAAAGUAGCCCUGUUAAGAUGCCAAUUUUAGGCAAAUCCUUCAAAUCGUGACAACAAGCCCGCACUUGGCACAAUGAUAGAUUAUGAUGUCAAGAAUAUGGAAUGGAAGGGUUGCCCAAAAUUUGAGUAGGGAAAAGUACUUUUUUCGGACGUCAAAAAUACAAGAUGGCGGAAUCCAAGAUGGCCGACCGAUGACGUCAGCUAUAUGACGUGAUCAACAUAAUUACCACUGUAAUCACUUUUACACAUUACAGAGAUAUACUUAGUAUUUCAAGCAAUCUUAAAACAUAGAAAUUGAACUAACAGAGGCCGAUAAACUAACCUAGUUUCAAACUCGUACCCAGGCUCUUCGCUCCAGAACAUUAAAAACAAAAAAGGUCCUAGAUUUUAAGUUUUUCGUUUUAUUUUCUGUUCGCAAUAACUGUUUAAUUGUUUAUUAAUAAUGUGAAAACGUCGCCUUUUAAUCAAUUUUAGAACUAUUUGACCCUCGAUGCGCGUUUUACCUAACCAUAACUAACCUGUAGUGAUCUUCUAUGGUAAACGCAAAGCUUGUUCCUGGUUUAACAGUCCGACAACCGCACAACUCGGUACACUUCAGCCCACUCGUUUUGCAUUUGCACUUCGCCGCAACACAAAUGACUGCCAGACAUUCGCAUACUACAUCUCAAGUAUCAUCCAGUCUUACAUGGAGCUUCAUCUGAGGUCAACCACAUGAAUAGAUUUGGUGUUUGAUAGGUACUUUAAAGAUAGUUUAAAGUCUGUCACACGAUCAAACCGAGGUUCUGGUGUGAGAAGGCUCGUGAAACCAAAUGGGAGUAUGCCAAAAAAUUGGCCAACGUUCCUCCGGUGCGACGAAAACAAGACAGAACUGUUUCCGCUAAUUGUCAAAUCAUUGACCGAGAACAUUAACUGCGCUCAUGGAGUUUUCGUUGGGACUGUCGAAGACGGGGCGGUUUCAAACCAAGCGGAUAUCGAUCUCGAGCCAUUGAUGCAAUGCAACAUCGAAGAGGCAGAUGGGCGUAUGUUUGUGCAUGUCAGAAAUGCUGCUGAAGAAUGUUCCCGUAUUCUGGUCAAGACCGUGGAUAGUAAUGUUGUUGUGAUUGCUCUUUCAGCUUUCCACAGAAUAGCCGGCCUCCAGGAGUUGUGGCUCGAGUUUGGAGUCGGGAAGCAUUUGAGGUUCAUACCAAUUCACGAGAUUGCCAAUUCCCUCGGACGCCAGGCCUCCACCGCUUACCUCUUCUUCCACUCGUUUAGUGGCUGCGAUACCACCUCAUCACUCCACGGAAAGGGUAAGAAGUCGUUUAUUGACACCUGGAAGAAGAUGGCCAGUGCAACACCUGUAUUCGAAAAACGGCAACGUCUCGGAGAGAUAUAAGUCAAGCCGACAGAGACAUUAUCGAACAAUUUGUUAUUACCCUGUACUGCAAAGCAUUUGAUGGUAUCAAGGUAAACGAGGCGAGGCGAUACCUAUUUGCAAGUCGAGGUAAGGCCAUUGAAAAUAUCCCUCUAACGGCACUCAACGAACAAGUAAAGCGAUCAGUUUUACAAGCACAGAAGUGGUACGACUUCCUUGAAGCCCACAGAAUUGAAAUGGAUCCAGUGAACUGAGGAUGGAUUAAGGAGGACGAUGAAUUCGUACCCGUUUGGAGUAUUCUGCCGGACGUAUCGAAUGUGGCCAAAGCGCUCAUUUCUUAUGGAUGCACAAGUUGUGUUGCGGCGAAGUGCAAAUGCAAAAAGAGUGGGCUGAAGUGUACCGAGUUAUGCGGUUGUCGGACUAAAUGUUAAACCAGGAACAAACUUUGCGGUUACCAUAGAAGAUCACUACAGGUUAGUUAUGGUUAGGUAAAACGCGCAUCGAGGGUCAAAUGGUUCUAAAAUUGAUUAAAAGGCAACGUUUUCACAUUAUUAAUAAACAAUUAAACAGUCAUUGCGAACAGAAAAUAAAACGAAAAACAUAAAAUCUAGGACCUUUUUUGUUUUUAAUGUUCUGGAGCGAAGAGCCUGGGUACGAGUUUGAAACUAGGAUAGUUUAUCGGCCUCUGUUAGUUCAAUUUCUAUGUUUUAAGAUUACUUGAAAUACUAAAUAUAUCUCUGUAAUGUGUAAAAGUGAUUACAGUGGUAAUUAUGUUGAUGACGUCAUAUAACUGACGUCAUCGGUCGGCCAUCUUGGAUUCCGCCAUCUUGUAUUUUUGACGUCCGAAAAAAGUACUUUUCCCUACUGAAAUUUUGGGCAACCCUUCCAUUCCAUAUUCUUGACAUCAUAAUCUAUCAUUGUGCCAAGUGCGGGCUUGUUGUCACGAUUUGAAGGAUUGUUUUGGCUAACAGGCCCACUAGUUCUGCUGUCUAGAAAAUCGUUAAAUGGUUUCAGACUUUGUUACGCUUCUGUGUUUCUAAAAAUCGUGAAAAUGAAAUUUUGUUUUUCGUGAAAUCUAAAAAUGAUCUUCGUAAUUUCGUGACGAGAUCCCCCUUGCCCCCCCCCCCCUUCUAUUAAAAUUGCCCUACUUAAAAUGUAUUGCAAUAAUAUGGUGGCAAAUACAUGACAAGAAUUUUACAUAAUCAUACAUUUCAAAGUUUGUUUAGUUGCCAUUCUCAAGUCGUCGUCCUCUAAACGUAGACUCCCUCUAUUAGAGAGGUUAAGAUACCCGGUUCCGGUUUAAGGGUACGAGUAUCGCCAUUUUAUUUAUCAAGUUUUGCUGAUGUCAGCAUUUUUACCUGUAAUUUCUACCCGUUCUCCUGCGGCAAACCAUGGUGCAGCCUCGUACUCAGGCGCAAUUAACUAAAAAUAGGCACACUACAGUACUUUUAUAUAGAUCAGUGGCUAAGAUGAGCGAGCGCGCGGGGGUGCUUGGGGAGGACGCAACUGGAACCGGAGGCGCCUGGGAGAAUUUGUUCGAUAAGUGACAAGAAAUUGUCGAUUUCUGAAAUUUAGUUUAGAAAUGUAGUUUUUAAGCGUUUUUGUGCAUUUUGUGCCCAAUUUCCGUGACAAUAUGGACCAGACGGAGUAAAGACAGCCACAUGAAGGUAAUCUUUUUCUUUAAACAUACUUAAUAGGCGCUUUUUAACCUUUAUUUGAAUUAAUAUACUGACUGAGUCUGUUAACUUUAAUAAUAAGAGUCAUUUUUAAUAUGAUAUACCUGUGUUAUAAUAGAAUUGAUAUUGAAAACGAAAGGAUUUUAGCUAAAUAUUAUUUACAUUAUUUUAUAUGAUGUAAAAUAGCGAUAUAUAUUGUUAUAUAAAUCUGUUCAGUGUUGAAUGCUGUUAUAUUUGUCUCUUUGGACUUUGGUUCAUGCAAUAACAACAAUGUCAAAGCUAAUUUUAUAUAAAUUGCAAUAGCACCAAAUUGCCACAACAAAAUAUUUGCUGUAUCACCUGUAUGCGUUUUUAAAACACCUAUUAAAUCUUCUUUUGAUAGCAUCAGUAAGUUCUGAUGAUAUAUUUAAUGCAUCCUUUUCCCAACUUGAUUUUGAAGAAGGUAUUGUCUACUUAUGUAGUUUAAGUUCCUAAGUCAGCAGACAUUUGAAUGCAUCAUGCAUCACAUUUUUGGUGAUCUGAAGCAUUAUAAUAUAGUAAAUUUAUGAGUUAAUGAGUAAUAGAAAUGUUGUUAAUUUAUUAUGUUGUUAGAUAGUGAUGUCCCCAUUGCCACUGAAGCAGAUUAUGAGAUGGAGAACUAUGGCGAGAUUGAAAAAUCUAGCAGUUUAUCAAGUGGUCUAGAACUGACAAUUGCACCACGAAACUCGGUGGUGCAAUCAGCACACCACCAUAGCCCUAGUAGGGGGCAGUGAAACUUAAUGGGUAAAGUUGUUAAUUUGCAAAGUUUAAUGUGCCUAGUUUGUUUAGACGUUAAGAUGUGGAUGAGUGUAUAAAUAAAGGCCCACAAGAGUAUUAAAUUGCAUAAAUAUUGCCAUACAGCCAUAGCUCUAGAUCUUUUUUAAUGUAAAUACUAGUAGUUUAUAUUAUGAGCAAAAUAAAUAAAAUUCUCAACAUUUUAGGUUAUAUGUUCCAGGGGUUGUUUGCAUAGUAUGUUGAUGAGGUAUACCUCAUUUAGUCAAGUUGUGUAAAACAUUCAUGAGGAUUUAAGAGCAAGCACAGAGACAACUGGGAUAGGUCUUGUGUUUACACUACAAACCUACACCUGUCCAAGCUGUUUACUGGGACUUACCUUGAGUGACCUGAGAAUGAUUUCAGGUAAAGCAUUUGUGUGUAUAAACAUGUUUGGAUUGUUUAAUCCCAAGACCAAUUUCCAUGGCAACAUGGUAAAUCAUGUGUGUAUAUGUAUGGUACAUGUAUGAGAGUAUUUUUGUGUGUUUAUACACCAUACUUUGCCGGGCUGAUUUUAGAUUUUGCUAACUGUUGACAAAUAUUUUCAGUGAGACCAUCAAAUGUUUGCCACAUAUUUUUCAAAUGUCAUUGAUUUUUAAAUAUCAAUACCAUCUGUACUGUAGUCAGCCCGACAAAUUGCAAUGUGCAACCAUGCCUUUAAAUUGUCCAAUUUGUUAGACUAUGUCUGUAACUGGUAUCAAAUGCAUUGUAUGCAGCCAGAGGCAAGUCCAGAGUAUACCUCAUUCCUUAGUGUAAACAUAGUAGAUUUUGGCAAUCAAGGACAAUAGCCUUCAUAGUUCAAAACUCAAAAGUAAGGUGAAUCACAAACAUCAACAGGUGAACCAUGCAUGAGAUGAGCGGAUUAGUUUGGUCUGGUUUGUGGUUUAUAUAAUUAUUGUCAGCCAGUUAAAACAAUAGAGCUCUAAAAUUUAUGUUUUUAUCUUCACCAUAUUUUGCAUACUAAAAAGCACUCAUGCAUGUUAAUUUAUAUUCCUUCUAUUGGCAAAAUUUUAGAAACCUACAAUCAUUAAAUAUUUUCCAGUUAAUUUUCUCAUCUGAGGUAAAAUAUCAUCAGUACAAAUAAAUAGUAGUUUCAACAUUCCAUAUUUAUAAAAUUCAAUGUAUUAUUAAAAUUCAAGAAUAUAAAGUUAUAAACUUGGCCAGUUUCUUUGACUUUGACUUUGUUGUCAGAAUACUUUUCUUUCAAACUGCAAAAAGGCAGUACAUUUCAUGAUGUGCAUCAAAUACCAGACAUAUAUUUAAUAUUUUCAACCAUUUGAAAUAAACCAUGACCAGGAGACUUUCUAUUAAAUUUCGAGAGGUCCUGAGGAAACUCGCCAGCUAAAAUGAUAAAUAUAUAAUACCGUUUUCGAGGAAAAAUAAUUAUUAUCAACGCAGUGAUCGUUUGGACAUAAAAUCUUUCCCAAAUGUCACGCUCGAUUGGGCAGGCCUUUCAAUUUCAUUGAGUAUAGUACAGCAAUUUCCUCAUUUGCAUCCUCAUGUCCGCCAUGUUUGUUACAAAUUCUGCCAGGCGCUUCGUUUCCUGCAACCUCCCCAAGCACCGCCGCGCGCUCGAGCCACUGAUCCAUAUAAAAACACUGUAGUGUGCCCAUUUAUAGCGCCUGGGUACGAGGCUGACCAUGGUGUAUACACGUAAAAGACAAACGUGUAUGGGUGUUUUCUGUUUAGUAUUUAUGGGCCGUUUCAAUAGCAAAAAGCUUCAACAUCUUAUCCAAAAAAAUAAUGAGCAUAUAUAUGUUCGUCAAAGUUUUCAACAAUCUAUGGCGAACCUCAACAGCGAAAGUUACCAUUCUCUGAUAGGUUUUCUGAUGCCGGAGUAUCUUGGAUUUCUUAAGUUAUAAGUCGUUCUCCGAUUUCCCCCGUAACCGUAAAUUGGAACAGGGGUAUCUUAACCUCUCUAAUGUUCGCUCCACCCGUGCGGGCAAAGCGACUGCAAUGGAAAAUUGCCUUAAAGCCGACGUUAUGUACUGUACAGAUGUCGCACGAUUUUCAAUUACCCUAUAUACGCACAGAAAAGUUUACAUCAUUUAAUAGUUGUCUUAUUAAAUAAUUAAAUAAAUAACAGUAACCUCUCACAGGUCCGGUUUGACUAUAACAGAGUAGUUAGUUUAAAAUUAAUUAAUUAAAGAAAGUACGAAAGUUAGACAGUAAGUUUGCACAAGACUGAGAGCGUUUGUCGUAUAAUAUAAUUAUGUUCAAACGUUUUGGUAUUUGAAGGUAAUGGUAUCUCCAUUCGCCGGUGUUAACACAUCAACUCCAAGAUGGGAAAGUUGACCAUUCUUGUAAAGGAGCCAAUAAAAGUCAGCUGAUGGAUCUUGUUCGAGACAGCAUAUUCUUGUAAUGAAGCGACCAAUACUGAAUGUUUGAAAUUGGAAUCUGUAGCACGGGUUUUGUUGGGAAGCCAUCUCGAGUAUUUCAAAAGCUUUUGUCCCCUCGGACACACUGAGGGUCAUUGCAGGUAUGAAAUUCGCAUUGGUGUAGUUGGCGAAGACGAGUUCGACAGAUACUGAGAUUGUCUGAAAAUAGACAAGUAAAUGGAGAUGAGUUUUACAAAUCUGCGAAAACGUACAAAAAAUUAAAACUAAAACAGUUAUUGGGUAAGAUUUUUGUGAUAUCCAGAAUUACCAAGGAGUACGGGCCGACCCCUUCACAGUAACUAAUGCAUUUAUUUUUUUGCUCAAUGCUUAAUUAAAUUCCUAAAAAAACUCCAGCAUUGCGAACGAGAUUUGAGAUCUGUUUGUUGCUUUAGUCCAACUAGCGUGACCGCCAUAUAAAUUAUUUUUGAUGCAAUAGAUGCUUUAAUUUCUAUACUCAACAAGAAAAUAAACUGAAGGUAAACUGAUUAAAACGAUUUGUUUUCCUGAUCGUUUUAGCCUAAUAACGUGUUUUAAAGAUGUUCUUUCGAGUUUGAACACGCAGCAACAAAUUGUACUUGCCGAAAACAUUUUGUCAAAAAAGUACAUCUAGCACUAAAAUUAUUUAAAAUGCUAGCGUUGCGGACAAAAAUUUUUUAUCGGAAACAAAAUGCAAUCGCACAGAAUCAAAAUAAGGACUGUCUUGCACAAGCUAUCAAAGUUUCAAGAAAUUUGGUGCAUGCGUAGGUUAACCCCAGUUUAAAAUGAUUUCUAGAUUCAUGUUAUUAGCUAAAAGGAUCAGAAAAACAAAUAUUAAUCUUUUUAUUGUCUUGUUGAG
rnacentral:lncRNA from 1 species